CUUGUCAAUUCUCAUUGACAGAAGAAUUAAAAAAAGAAGAAAAAUGGGGGUGAGCUUAGAAGGUUCAAAAGUGAUAUUGGUAGCAUACAUGAAAGAACAUGUUUUGAAUUACCAUAAAUGGAUGCAAGAUCCAUCUUUACUUGAAGCCACCGGGUCGGAGCCCCUGACCCUUGAACAAGAGUACCAGAUGCAACUUUCUUGGACCCAAGACCCCCUCAAAAGUACUUUUAUUAUAUUGGACAAAGAUUUGAUUUCUGGGAAAUUUAUACAUGGUGAUCCUCAUGUUGAAGCCAUGGUCGGUGACGUAAAUGUAUACAUGAAUGAUUUGGAAGAUUCUCAUCUGGGUGAGAUUGAAAUUAUGAUAGCUGAACCUAAAUGUCGUGGCAAAGGACUUGGGAUGGAAUCAGUAUUAAUGAUGUUGGUGUUUGCCAUUGAAAACCACAAAAUCAACACCUUUCGUGCGAAAAUUGGAUUCUCAAAUGAAGCUUCGUUAAAUAUGUUCAAGAAACUGGGCUUCAAGGAGGUCUCUCAUAGUGAAAUCUUCAAAGAGGUUACUUUGGAGCUACCAGUAACACCAGAAAAGAGUAAAGAGCUACUUCAGUUAGUUGGAAAUAUGGUUAAGCAUUCAUAGCCUCGAUACGGUUGCUCGAAAAAGUAGAGAGGAACAAAGGAUGCAUCAAGGAUUCAUGAUCCCUGAAGUAACACCGCAAUGCAUUUUGAUGCUGUUUUGUUCGGGCUGACAAACCAGGUGGCUUAUGAAUGGUGAGCUUGAGUAGUCAUUUUGUACAACCGGAGUAAGGACUUGGUAAUAGGUGAGGCCUCUAGAUUUUGAAUGUGAAAUUUUCAUCUGAGCACAUUCUAGCAGAGGAAAAUGAGGACUUGGAAAACAUAAUGGGCAAUGGGGAGUAGCAGACUGAGGAAUAAACUGUAGCUGUUAUAGAAGACGAGCCGAGUAAUGGAACAAAAGACAUUAGGUUCGUUCAUAGGUCAAGUUUAGAAGCGAGUAGGGUUGACCUGUUGUGCCACUGCCGUUGUAAAAUCUGUGUAUAGUAAUGCAUCUCUUGAAUUCAAGGUUGCUGUGGUA